GACCUCAGAUGCUGAGGGCAAAUUAGAAGAUGCUUGUGAAGGAUUUUUACAGAAACAGUUACCUGAAGAUGCAGGAUCAGGUAUUCAGGUUUCAGAUCAGCGACAGAUAUUCAGGAUUUGUCAAGUAUCCCCUGUGAGCAAGAGAACUACUACAGGGAUAUAGAUUGUGAAACACCCAGAGUGAGUCAUGCACCAACUAGCGUCAGCACUCCACUCAACUCAGAAGAAAAAAUUCCAGUAGCCUUUGAGAAAUACAAACACUGCCAUGAAGUAGCUUCAGAUUCUUCCUUUUGUGGUUCUCAAGAGACCUCCUCUGCAGUGUCCAGGACA
rnacentral:lncRNA from 1 species